rnacentral:piRNA from 1 species
UGGAAAGACUGCUGGGAUUUGCCCUCUG